UUUUUUUGUCUUAUUAAUGUCAAGAGAGAGAGAGAUAAAGGUAUGGAAGCUUAUUUCCACUACGUAUGAGAAAAUGUUAUGCAGAAUGAUCUCACAAUUACCUUCUUUUUAUCUCACAUCCUGUUAACACACUCUCCAGGAGUGGCCCAGCCCCGCUGAAAAGAAUACUUCACUUAGGUUAUAUUGCCUCGCAACACAUUGCUAGGUUUUUGUUGUGGAUUGAUUAUGGGAAACGGAAGCACAGAGUCACAACUGUUAAAUAUUAACUCGCAGGUGAAACGUACAGUCGCAAUUGUGUGAAAAUAACGAGAUUUUUAGAGCUGCUAUAACAUAAAACGGGAACCAACUUGAUUCUUGGAUGUUCCACAACAUUCAACAUAUUAAUAAAUGAGUAAAAAUCACAUAUUCUUUAAUGAAUUAAUAUCCCACUUCAUCUCAGGCCACAUCACACCACCCCACCAUUGAAUACUUUCCUAUAACAUGCUCCCAAAGUGCUUUAUUCCUUAAACAAAACCAUAUGUCCUUCUUCUAAUGAACUCACUCAAACAUUUUAAAAAGAAGUCAAACAUCAGAUAUCCACGAAGACUGUGGAAGCAAAUUGUAGUAGUAUCUGUGGUACCUGCUCCUCUUUCAAUGUUCAUAAGGUGUAGUCUGCUCUAGUUUUAGCUGUUCAUGUAUUGUUCUUGUUUAUUGAUAUGAUGUUUGGUUAUGCUAACUGUACCCCCCCCCCCCUCUAGUUGACUUAAUUUAACCAAUGUUACUUCAUUAAUUUUGUGACUUACAUACUGAUAUCUUUCUAGUUCUAGGUUCAAGUUUGCAGUAACUGUCUAAAAUAUGAUUUAGUAUAACCUAAUUAUGACAUGAAAUCCAUGUAAUUGCUUCAGAAUUGAAGUAUAAACACUGAAAUGCUUAUUUUACCAGCCUAAUGGCUUCACCUAACUGCAAAAUCUAUCACUGGCAAACAUGGCUGCGCUUCCACAGCACAGAACAGUGUAAACUUUAAAAAAAAAUUUUUUGUGACUAACCUCAUUAACACACCAUUCAUUUGAAAUUGAAGGUAACAUUUUAUUUAAAAAAAUAAUAAUAAUGUAACAUUACAGUUUCUGCAUAAACCGUGAUCAAAGUUGAACUUCAAACUUCUGCAGUGUUCAGAAAUAACUAGCAGUUAAGCCUUACGUACCAGAUGAGGUAGACGCUUCCCCUCUUCAGGAAAAUAAUUAAGCAGAAAUAUUUAACAUUAGCAAUGGAGUGUGGUUAAUUUUCUUAGUUAAAGCAGUUUUGUAUAUGAAAGUUCUACAAAAAUAAAGACUUUGUUAUUUAAAAAAGUAGUAUAUAUAUAUAUAUAUAUAUAUAUAUAUAUAUAUAUAUAUAUAAAAUACAUAUUUAAAUGGAUAUAAAAAAAAAGUUUUCAAUUUAAACAAAAGGGAUGUGGCUGUACACUACUAGUCAAACGUUUUGGAAAAACUAGGGCUUCUUAUGAUUACAUUACAUCCAUAUCACAGCACUGUUGAACUCUUGAUUCUGACUGGGUCAAGUUCUCCGACACAGGAAUGUCGGAAAAAUGAAGGACAUUGUACUUUGUCAGUAACAUGACACGUUUCAUUGUCUUAUUAACUUCAAGAGAGAGGACAAAAAGAGAUCCUGGUGAGAGAACUGGUUAUAGCUGUUACAAUUUAAACGAUACCAGGAACAAGCUAGUUGCAUGGAUGUUUCACCCCAUUAAAUGCAACUAUAAAUGGAUAAAAAUGAUGUGGAAAUUCACUAACAAAAAUAUACAUGAUUUGGAUUACAAAAAUAUGCAUUUUCGAAACUUUGACGGUUAAAGUAAAUGGUUCUGUUACGAUAGCCGUGAAAACCGUGCUCCAUAGUUAGGGAUAAAAACAACUUACAUUUUGUAAUAAGCGAAAAACCCCAAAACAAAACAAAACAAGCACCCUAACAUUUUGAAGUGAAAUAAAUAAAUAAAUAAAUAAAUCAAUCACAGAUGGUCUCUCUUUCUCUUCUUUUUGAGUUUUGCACUGUCGGUCCAUGAACACCAAUUUGACUUGCCAGAGACAGCGACUUUUUCAGCUCCGAGUGUGGCAUCUAGAUCAUUAUCUGGGUCUCUUACUUGCUUCUUUUUCUUAAUAUGUACUAAUAAUGCACCCCCUGAGGAUGAAAUACUGUCCUUUUUAGCAUGGCAUGUGUCUAAAGCAUCUCUUGAUUCUUCUGCAGCAAAUAGCUUAGGUACAACAUCUAAAAUCUGAUUCCCACCUCUAUCAACUGUGUCCUUUCUAUUCUUUUUCUUCUUCUCCUUCUCAAUUAUUGCUUCUGAAGGUUCUGAUGGAGAACCACUCUCCUGCCACAAUUCAUGUUCAACAAUCUCAGGAUACACUUCUAUGUCUGUUUCUACCCAUUGCUGCUUCUUCUUCUUCUUCUUCUUUUUCCUUCCAUUAGGCUGUAUGGUAUCCUCUGACUGCAGUACUUGUUGGCUACUUUCAGAACGGUCAUCUUUGGUCCUCUCACAUUUGUUUGUCUCAUUGGUGUCAUUUUGUCCACUACUUGAAGCUUCUUUCACUACUCUUGUCUGUUUAGUAUUUUGCCAAUGGGAGUCAUCCAGAUGCAACAAGCCGUGAGAAACCGACCACGAUCCAUCAUUUUCCAACUCUUUCCUUUUCCUCUUCUUUUUCUUCUUCUUCACUGGUUCUGAUCCACCAACACCUUCCUCCUCACCAAUCCCUCCAGUCUCACUUCUGGUGCUUGGGGUAUUGGAUGUUGUCAUCUCUAUGAGAUCAAGUCUGAGAGACACGGAUGCAUUUUUAGACGUCUCCUCUUCUUGAUGCGUUUUAAUUCUGCCCUUUUUCUUCUUUGGCUUUCUCACCAGAACCACCUCAGCUGCUUGCUGCUCAGAAUCUUGAGUAUUUGGAGCCUCCACUUGUUCUGUCGUCUCUACCAACAAUGCCUCAACGUCCAUAUUUUCUUCCCUGACCACCUUUUGCCGUUUCCUUUUUUUCCUCUUCUUCCUUUGAGUUAUAGAGUGAUCUGUCAAAUCUAUGCUAUUCACUGGUUGGAUUUCUAUGCCUGCUGGUAUUUCGGGGAUUUUCUCCAACGGUUCUCCAAUAUUCUUACUGGCCGUAGCCAUCUCUCCUACUUGUCCUUCUCCAACAUCAUCUAUAAACAUUUUCUUCUUUUUCUUGACAGUUUUGAUACCAUGGCUUGAAUAAGAUUCUUCACUACACUGCCAAGCCACGAUCUCAGUUAUCACAGGACUUGAAUCCUGUUUCGUCUUCGCCCUUUUCUUUUUCUUUUUCCUUUGUGGUUCAAGACAAUCAGACUGAACAAAAUUAGAAAGAUCAGUUCUGGUCAGCUGCUCAGUUUCCUCAGCUAUAGACACCAAAGAAGCUGAACCUUGACAGGGGAUCUGGAUAGCCUCCUCUACACCAAUCCAUUCAUCUUCCUGAGGCACUGGUUGACCAUGUUUGUCUUUUUUUCUCUUUUUCUUUGGUUUAAUUCCAUUCACUGAAGCACAAACCACUGAAGAGUCCUGAACUGAUAGACCAGAGUCUGCAGCAACACUGAUGUCUGGCAAGGUGUCAACUGGUUCCUCCAACAACCGAUAAUUUUUGUCCUUUUUACUCUUUGGUUUACUUCCACUAACUGAAGCACAAACCACUGAAGAGUCCUGAACUGACAGACUCGAGUCUGCAGCAACACUGAUGUCUGGCAAGGUGUCAACUGGUUCCUCCAACAACCGAUCAUUUUUGUCCUUUUUUCUCUUUUUCUUUGCUUUACUUCCACUAAUUGAAGCACAAACCACUGAAGAGUCCUGAACUGAUAGACUCGAGUCUGCAGCAACACUGAUGUCUGGCAAGGUGUCAACUGGUUCCUCCAACAACCAAUCAUUUUUGCCCUUUUUUCUCUUUGGUUUACUUCCACUAACUGAAGCACAAACCACUGAAGAGUCCUGAACUGACAGACUCGAGUCUGCAGCAACACUGAUGUCUGGCAAGGUGUCAACUGGUUCCUCCAACAACCGAUAAUUUUUGUCCUUUUUUCUCUUUUUCUUUUCUUUACUUCCACUAACUGAAGCACAAACCACUGAAGAGUCCUGAACUGAUAGACCAGAGUCUGCAGCAACACUGAUGUCUGGCAAGGUGUCAACUGGUUCCUCCAACAACCAAUCAUUUGUGCCCUUUUUUCUCUUUGGUUUACUUUCACUAACUGAAGCACAAACCACUGAAGAGUCCUGAACUAAUAGACCUGAGUCUGCAGCAAUACUGAUGUCUGGCAAGGUAUAAACUGUUUCCUCCAACAACCGAUCAUUUUUGACCUUUCUUCUUUUUUUACGCUUGACGUCAUCAAAGUGAAGUGCAGAAUAUUCAUUCUGACCCAAAUCAGCUUGUCUUGGUGCCAGGUUAUCUGAGAUCUCAGGGUCUUUAGUCUUUUUAUUUUUCUUCCUCUUCAGAAAUUUCAAUCCACCAAAAUUGAACAGUGGGGUCUCGGUCUUCUCUUCCUGUCUGACCAUGAGGAUAUCCUUACUACAACUUGAGUAAUCAUUUCCUAUGGAUCCUGAUUCGUAAUCCUCUAAUGGCAGUGAUGAAUGAUGGUGUGGAUCUUGCAUAUCCAAUGUCGUCUUGUCCUUUUCCUUUCUUACCUGGCAUAUAUCUCCAGCUGUUGGUGAGACUAUUUCACUCGGGUGAGUCCUCAGAGAUUUGGAAUAUUUAAGAAAGUCACCCUCCAUAUCUUCCAAGAUUAAUGAACCCUUUUUCUUUAUUAUCAAACCUAUGUCAUCAUGUGGUACUACAAUGCUUUCUAAGACUUCCUUAUCAUUUUCAACACUAGUCUCUUUUAAAGGACUUGAUUGAUUAUUUGGUUCUUGAAAAAGAUCCUGUGAGCUGAUGAAACCUCCACUAACACUACCAAAGUCUUCGUUUUCCAGUGGCUCGUGAUGUACGCUUUGAUGGAUAUCCUGGACUUGUACUUGGUGUUCACAGGAUGAGAUGUUCUCAAAGCAGAGUGCAUCUUCCUUUCCUUCUUUGUCCGUAGGGUUGUCCUGCAAAAUCUGGGUUUCGUUUCCAAGUGGCUCAUGAUGUACGCCUUGAUGGAUAUCCUGGACUUGUACUUGGUGUUCACAGGAUGAGAUGUUCUCCAAGCAGGGUGCAUCUUCCUUUCCUUCUUUGUCCGUAGGAUUGUCCUGCAAAAUCUGGGUUUCGUUUCCAAGUGGCUCAUGAUGUACGCCUUGAUGGAUAUCCUGGACUUGUACUUGGUGUUCACAGGAUGAGAUGUUCUCCAAGCAGGGUGCAUCUUCCCUUCCUUCUCUGUCCAUAGGGUUGUCCUGCAAAAUCUGGGUUUCGUCUUCAUCCUGGUCUACCAAAUUUGGCCGCUGCGUCUCCUCGUCUGACGUUUCAUCAAUUGGUUCCAUCCAGUUCCAUUCGGCAGAUUUCCUGCUUUUCUCACCGUUCUCCGUGGACCGAGACACUUCUAUAUUAAGUGAGCUGCUCUCAUUAUAUACAUCUGCAUCAUCUUGAGGCGCCAUCAGGUCUUCAGCAACUUUCCUGGUUUGAGAACACGUCUCCUGCUCCUCUUGACAUUUGUUGCUUUUCUUAGUGCACGUUUCUGGAGCCUGUCUCGUUUUCCAUUUCAGGGAUGGUAGCCAUGUUUGUUGGUUUCUUUUAUGUGUGUUCUCAAUAAAGCAAUCUUUAUCCUAAAACAAAAUCAGACAUAUUGAUUAACAAUAAUAAAAUGUCUGUUUGAUGGCUUGAGAGAAAACUAAAGAAUAACUAGAAAAGAAUGAAACAAUCAAUCAUGACGUUUCUGAAAAGUCAAAUGCUAAAACGACGAUGCAGAAUUACAAAUUUUGACUUCAAAACGGCAUUCAAAUGGAUCCUUGUUACUUGACGAACCUGCCACCCCUGAAGUCACAGAUACAAUGCAGUAAACAGUUUUUUUUUUAAACUUUCAGUCCCUCAAAGAAACCUUGAAAUGGUUCUAAAUGGCAGACAUUUUCACUGUUAAUCUGUUGCUGCUCAAAAAAGUGUUGCACUUACCAUUUAAGUUAUUUGUGAAGUGAUACAUUUGACAAAUUUUUGAACUUUUUCAGUCGAAAAAUUUGGUGUAUCCCUAAAUCACUAAUGCUUAAACUAAUGAGCAUUUGGUAGGAAACGGGGUGGGGCCAGCAAGGGUGUCAGUUAAAACUGCAACUGUCAGUAAUUCCAAAUUCAUAUGUUGAUUGGCUAAUUUGUGGUUUUAUUAGAUUUAUUUGCUCAUUUGCUGUUUUAUUAUUUUUUAAUUAUUAUUCAGGGUUUUUGUCCUAUUCAGUUUUUUGUUGCAUGGCAAAAAGUGAAAACAUCACAACUGUCAAAAUAUAACUGCAAAAUAUACCACUUUUUUAACGUCCUCAUCAUCAUCAUCAUCUUCUGUUUGCAUACUGCUUUCCUUCCGUCUGUAAAUUAAAUCCGAAAAAAGUCAAUAAAAGGACAGACGAAUAAAAUAGAUUAAUAUUGUGUAUUAAUAUGUUCACUCACCUCUUGACUGAAAUGAAAACAGCAAGAGUUUUCUGACAUGGAUUCAAUGUUUAUAACAUUCCUACCACAGCACUACUGUACUCGCAAUUCAGUUUUUUUGCAAGGUGUUGAUUCAUUUCAGCAGCUCCGAUUGUCUUUUCGGCUGCAAUUCCGACGACAGGUUUAUUUUAAUUUGCUCGUUCUAAUACGUUAUGAUAACAAAUGACACCAGGACUUGUAUGCUCGGACGCUCCACAUAAUUGUAACUGUUGAUAAAAUUUCUGUUAGAUGUCGAUUCAUUCAUUUAUUUAUGGAAGGAGUCACCGGUGGCAGCACUCUGUUUUCCACCACAGGAAAGUCUUCAGGACAGAAAAGAUCCUAGUUCCUCAGGAACAUGACAAAAUGAUCAACUUCAAGAAAGGUUGGUGAGGGGACUCAUGGACCUUCAAGAAUGUCAACCCUAACUAUAACUGGUUAAUAAGUACAUAAUUUAUUAGUAUACUGAGUAUAAUGUAAUCUUCGUUAUAGGAAAAUGAUCAACUUCACGGUCCUAACAGUAAGUCCUGCUUACUAAGGCUGCUCCACACCACUACAUUGUAGAUCUUUUUCCUCCAACAGCAUGGCCAAUGUCAAAUUACACGCUUCAACAGAAACAAAUAUAAAACCUACACAAUACUGUAUUCAUGUUUUGUAUAAUACAAUGGUAAACUCACUCAGAAAGCAAUAAAGAUGGACUCAGCUCUCCUCUUCUUUUGUCUCCAUGACCUUUGCUCAGCUUCAAUAUGCAUUUAAAGAACCCACCAACCUCUGAAUUCUGAUAGACGGAAAUAAAAUUAUAAAACGAUUACCUUCACCUUAUAUAGCUGGAACGAAAUGUAAUUUAUCUAAAAUUGAAGAAGAAGAAAAAAAGUUUCCAGACAUUUCCAUUUUCUGAGAAUGCACUUAAAUUGUUGCCAUUCCUUUAACAUUCGGCUGAUAGAUACAGUGCACUCCAUUAAUAUUGGCACCCUUGGUAUAUAUGAGCAAAGACGGCUGUGGUUGUGAUCUUUUGUUAAAAAAAAAAAAAAAAAAAAUUUCACAUAAAAAUACUCUGCUCUCAUGGAUAUCAAACAAUUGCACAAAAUAAGUUUAUCAAAAAAAUAACUUCUAUACAAUAUUUAUUUUUUUUUUAAUUAGAAUAUGUUAUAUACAAAAUAUACAAUGUGCAACAAUUAUUGGCACCACUAUGAGUUCAUGAGAAAAUAUAUUUUAAGUAUAUUCCCAUUGAUAUUUGAAAAAAAAAAAUUGUACAACAAAAUUUUUUUGGAUAAACCCGUGUCGUGUUUGCAAUCGUUUGAUAUCCAUGAGAGCAGAGUAUUUUUGUGAAUUUUUUAAACAAAAGAUCAAAAGUUUCAACAAUAAAGACAAUUUUUCACAGCCUUCUUUGCUCAUAUUUACCAAAGGUGCCAAUAUUAGUGGAGGGCACUCUAUAAGUCUAAAU
ensembl:lncRNA